rnacentral:rRNA from 1 species
CCCUUAGAUGUUCUGGGCUGCACGCGCGCUACACUGAUGCGCUCAACGAGUUUUAACCUUGCCUGGAAAGGUUGGGUAAUCUUUUUAAAACGCAUCGUGAUGGGGAUAGAUUAUUGCAAUUAUUAAUCUUCAACGAGGAAUUCCUAGUAAGCGCGAGUCAUCAGCUCGUGCUGAUUACGUCCCUGCCCUUUGUACACACCGCCCGUCACUCCUACCGAUUGAGUGAUCCGGUGAAUAAUUCGGACUGCGGCAUUGACCGGUUCCCGAUCGUUGCUGCGGAAAGUUUAGUGAACCUUAUCACUUAGAGGAAGGAGAAGUCGUAACA